GCAAGUCGAGCGGUAACAGGUGUAGCAAUACAUGCUGACGAGCGGCGAACGGGUGAGUAAUGUUUCGGAAUCUGCCUAAUGGUGGGGAAUAACCAGCCGAAAGGUUGGCUAAUACCGCAUAAGCCCUACGGGGGAAAGCGGGGGAUCGCAAGACCUCGCGCCGAUGGAUGAGCCGAAACCGGAUUAGCUAGUUGGUAGGGUAACGGCCUACCAAGGCGACGAUCCGUAGCUGGUCUGAGAGGACGACCAGCCACACUGGGACUGAGACACGGCCCAGACUCCUACGGGAGGCAGCAGUGGGGAAUAUUGGACAAUGGGGGAAACCCUGAUCCAGCGACGCCGCGUGUGUGAAGAAGGCCUGCGGGUUGUAAAGCACUUUUAGUGGGGAUGAAAAGCUCAGGGCUAAUACCGCUGAGUCUUGACCUAACCCAAAGAAAAAGCACCGGCUAACUCUGUGCCAGCAGCCGCGGUAAUACAGAGGGUGCAAGCGUUAAUCGGAAUUACUGGGCGUAAAGCGUGCGUAGACGGUUAUGUAAGUCGGGUGUGAAAGCCCCGGGCUCAACCUG
rnacentral:rRNA from 1 species